CGGGGGGAGCAAGCGUUGUUCGGAGUUACUGGGCGUGAAGGGCGCGUAGGCGGCCACCGCAAGUCGACUGUGAAAUCUCUGGGCUUAACCCAGAACGGUCAGCCGAUACUGCGGGGCUAGAGUGCAGAAGGGGCAACUGGAAUUCUCGGUGUAGCGGUGAAAUGCGUAGAUAUCGAGAGGAACACCUGCGGCGAAGGCGGGUUGCUGGGCUGACACUGACGCUGAGGCGCGAAAGCUAGGGGGAGCGAACGGGAUUAGAUACCCCGGUAGUCCUAGCCUUAAACGAUGAAUGCUUGGUGUCUGGGGUUUUAUAGUCCCCGGGUGCCGUCGCUAACGCUUUAAGCAUUCCGCCUGGGGAGUACGGUCGCAAGACUG
rnacentral:rRNA from 1 species